rnacentral:rRNA from 1 species
UGGGGAAUAUUGCACAAUGGGCGCAAGCCUGAUGCAGCCAUGCCGCGUGUGUGAAGAAGGCCUUCGGGUUGUAAAGCACUUUCAGCGGGGAGGAAGGCGAUAAGGUUAAUAACCUUGUCGAUUGACGUUACCCGCAGAAGAAGCACCGGCUAACUCCGUGCCAGCAGCCGCGGUAAUACGGAGGGUGCAAGCGUUAAUCGGAAUUACUGGGCGUAAAGCGCACGCAGGCGGUCUGUCAAGUCGGAUGUGAAAUCCCCGGGCUCAACCUGGGAACUGCAUUCGAAACUGGCAGGCUAGAGUCUUGUAGAGGGGGGUAGAAUUCCAGGUGUAGCAGUGAAAAGCGUAGAGAUCUGGAGGAAUACCGGUGGCGAAGGCGGCCCCCUGGACAAAGACUGACGCUCAGGUGCGAAAGCGUGGGGAGCAAACAGG